rnacentral:rRNA from 1 species
UACGUAGGGUGCAAGCGUUUGUCCGGAAUUAUUGGGCGUAAAGAGCUCGUAGGCGGUUUGUCGCGUCUGCUGUGAAAACUCAGGGCUUAACCCUGAGCCUGCAGUGGGUACGGGCAGACUAGAGUGUGGUAGGGGAGAUCGGAAUUCCUGGUGUAGCGGUGGAAUGCGCAGAUAAUCAGGAGGAACACCGGUGGCGAAGGCGGAUCUCUGGGCCAUAACUGACGCUGAGGAGCGAAAGCAUGGGGAGCGAACAGGA